AGCGGCGGAUGGGUGAGUAACACGUGGGGAACCUGCCCCUAAGUCUGGGAUACCAUUUGGAAACAGGUGCUAAUACCGGAUAAUAAAGCAGAUCGCAUGAUCAGCUUUUGAAAGGCGGCGUAAGCUGUCGCUAAGGGAUGGCCCCGCGGUGCAUUAGCUAGUUGGUAAGGUAACGGCUUACCAAGGCGACGAUGCAUAGCCGAGUUGAGAGACUGAUCGGCCACAUUGGGACUGAGACACGGCCCAAACUCCUACGGGAGGCAGCAGUAGGGAAUCUUCCACAAUGGACGCAAGUCUGAUGGAGCAACGCCGCGUGAGUGAAGAAGGUUUUCGGAUCGUAAAGCUCUGUUGUUGGUGAAGAAGGAUAGAGGUAGUAACUGGCCUUUAUUUGACGGUAAUCAACCAGAAAGUCACGGCUAACUACGUGCCAGCAGCCGCGGUAAUACGUAGGUGGCAAGCGUUGUCCGGAUUUAUUGGGCGUAAAGCGAGCGCAGGCGGAAAAAUAAGUCUAAUGUGAAAGCCCUCGGCUUAACCGAGGAACUGCAUCGGAAACUGUUUUUCUUGAGUGCAGAAGAGGAGAGUGGAACUCCAUGUGUAGCGGAGGAAUGCGUAGAUAUAUGGAAGAACACCAGUGGCGAAGGCGGCUCUCUGGUCUGCAACUGACGCUGUGGCUCGAAAGCAUGGGUAGCGAACAGGAUUAGGUACCCUGGUAGUCCAUGCCGUAAACGAUGAGUGCUAAGUGU
rnacentral:rRNA from 1 species